rnacentral:lncRNA from 1 species
ACCUCAUCAUAGGUCUUGGGACUAUUCCUAAUGUCCCUAUCUCCCACAAGAAAUGCUUCAUCUAAAUUCUCUAUAAGAAUACCUAAGUACCUUUCAGGAGGAUGGAAGAGCCUACUUGAUCUACGAGGUGGAGGAGGUACCACAUCUACUGGUUCACUACUGGAUUCAGAUUCUUGGAUUCGAUGCUCCUCAGAGACUUUCUUUUCAAGCUCAAUCUUCCUCCUACUGCCUCCAUCUUGGAUAAAUUUUUUUUUCAAGAAGACAGCAUGACGGCUCACAAUC